rnacentral:rRNA from 1 species
UACGGGGGGGCAAGCGUUGUUCGGAAUUACUGGGCGUAAAGGGCUCGUAGGCGGCCAACUAAGUCAGACGUGAAAUCCCUCGGCUUAACCGGGGAACUGCGUCUGAUACUGGAUGGCUUGAGUUUGGGAGAGGGAUGCGGAAUUCCAGGUGUAGCGGUGAAAUGCGUAGAUAUCUGGAGGAACACCGGUGGCGAAGGCGGCGUUCUGGACUGUUACUGACACUGAGGAACGAAAGCCAGGGGAGCAAACGGG